rnacentral:rRNA from 1 species
UACGAAGGGGGCUAGCGUUGUUCGGAAUUACUGGGCGUAAAGCGCGUGUAGGCGGGCCGUUAAGUUGGGGGUGAAAGCCCAGAGCUCAACUCUGGAAUUGCCUUCGAUACUGGUGGCCUGGAGCAUGAUAGAGGCGAGUGGAAUUGCGAGUGUAGAGGUGAAAUUCGUAGAGAUUCGCAGGAACACCAGUGGCGAAGGCGACUCGCUGGAUCAUUGCUGACGCUGAGACGCGAAAGAGUGGGGAGCAAACAGG